rnacentral:rRNA from 1 species
UGGGGAAUAUUGGACAAUGGGGGGAACCCUGAUCCAGCCAUGCCGCGUGUGUGAAGAAGGCCUUAUGGUUGUAAAGCACUUUAAGCGAGGAGGAGGGUACUGGUAUUAAUACUACCAGGUACUGGACGUUACUCGCAGAAUAAGCACCGGCUAACUCUGUGCCAGCAGCCGCGGUAAUACAGAGGGUGCGAGCGUUAAUCGGAUUUACUGGGCGUAAAGCGUGCGUAGGCGGCUAAUUGAGUCGGAUGUGAAAUCCCCGAGCUUAACUUGGGAAUUGCAUUCGAUACUGGUUAGCUAGAGUGUGGGAGAGGAUGGUUGAAUUCCAGGUGUAGCGGUGAAAUGCGUAGAGAUCUGGAGGAAUACCGAUGGCGAAGGCAGCCAUCUGGCCUAACACUGACGCUGAGGUACGAAAGCAUGGGGAGCAAACAGG